AUUGGCUGAGUUUUUUUAGCCAAUCACAUUCACCUUACACUAUGUGGUUUUGUGGAUGUACUCCAAAUUUCAUAAAUAGUGAAUCCAAGUUUGGAGUUUUUUUUAAUCCUAUCUGACAAAACAGAACCAAUUUUAAGGAGAAAUUGGGCACACCUUCAGGGCAGCUGAAUGCCGGGCUGGACUGGGGAUACGGAGCAGCCCUGGAAAAAAAUCUAUGCCAGCCCCAUAAGUCAUUGUGCU